rnacentral:rRNA from 1 species
UACGAAGGGGGCUAGCGUUGUUCGGAUUUACUGGGCGUAAAGGGUGCGUAGGCGGGUCUUUAAGUCAGGGGUGAAAUCCUGGAGCUCAACUCCAGAACUGCCUUUGAUACUGAGGAUCUUGAGUUCGGGAGAGGUGAGUGGAACUGCGAGUGUAGAGGUGAAAUUCGUAGAUAUUCGCAAGAACACCAGUGGCGAAGGCGGCUCACUGGCCCGAUACUGACGCUGAGGCACGAAAGCGUGGGGAGCAAACAGG